UGGGGAAUAUUGCACAAUGGGCGCAAGCCUGAUGCAGCCAUGCCGCGUGUGUGAAGAAGGCCUUCGGGUUGUAAAGCACAUUCAGCGGGGAGGAAGGCGAUAAGGUUAAUAACCUUGUCGAUUGACGUUACCCGCAGAAGAAGCACCGGCUAACUCCGUGCCAGCAGCCGCGGUAAUACGGAGGGUGCAAGCGUUAAUCGGAAUUACUGGGCGUAAAGCGCACGCAGGCGGUCUGUCAAGUCGGAUGUGAAAUCCCCGGGCUCAACCUGGGAACUGCAUUCGAAACUGGCAGGCUAGAGUCUUGUAGAGGGGGGUAGAAUUCCAGGUGUAGCGGUGAAAUGCGUAGAGAUCUGGAGGAAUACCGGUGGCGAAGGCGGCCCCCUGGACAAAGACUGACGCUCAGGUGCGAAAGCGUGGGGAGCAAACAGG
rnacentral:rRNA from 1 species